UCCUCCUCUUCCCCUUUUUCUUCUUCCUCUGCCCUUUAUCCUCUCCUCCUCUUCCUCCUCCUCCUCCUUUAACUUGAAAUACUGGCAAGAAGGAAGGAAGAGUUUAUUUGUUAAUUCACCUCUCUCUCUGCUGUGCUCACAGGAGAGCGGAGAAGGAAGAUGUUCAGACAGGCCCAUGCUUCCUGGGCUCCAAGAACCUUGCAGAUGGACAGAUCUGUUCUUCAAAUCUUGCCAUUGCAGCCCAGAGGAAGAGCCCGCACACUGGAGCAGCGCAUGUUUCAGCAACCAAAACUCUGAGACUCAGAAAAACCUCAUGAUUUGCCUGGACUGACAGCUCAAUCCAGUGAAUUCUGGAGGAAUACUUGGCGGUCACCUAACCGGGAAAGGCUAAACAGCAAUAACAACAAAGACAGGAGGAUAUAGAGCUAGGAGCUGGCUCCACAGGUGCUCCUACAAGAACAUGGGAGAUGGAGAUAGGAAAAUUCUCAAAAGUUGGGGACCAGACACCCCAGUGUAUAGCAGAAAGAGGUCUUUUAAACAUGGAAGAUGAAGACUAAGAGACCAAAGGCUAUCCCUCUGACCUCCACACCCUUGUUGAGCCUGAGGGAAAAUUCAGAAGACAAAUACUCUCUUCAACAAACAAGUCAGGUGAGUUGUAAAUGAGAUGAAUGCAAGGCUAACCUGGAUCCAGGGGCUGGACAAACUCUUCACAAACCAAGCAACUGUGGACUCAACCCUCCAAGCGCUUCUCCCGUCAUGUCGCAAGAAUCAGAAUUGUCAGUUUCAGGACCUUUCCAUACUAAGGAGUAAGUAACAUUUUUAAAACAAUCUGUUUUUAAUAGAAAGAAAACAAAUUUAUUUAUCACGUUGCAAAGAGAACGGUGUCCACGACAGAAGCAGAAAAGUAAUUUACAAAUAAUCAGCCCAUUCAGUUACCUGGAAUAGAAGGUAAGUUACCUUAAAUCCUAUGCUUACUUUAAAUUUUAU